GAAUGAACUGGGACAUGCUCAGUGCUGGAAUAGGGGUGAUGAGCCUCUAACUGUGCUGCUGUGGCGUACAGCUUGCGAGGACCUAGGUCUGAGCUUCUUGGAAAAGAGCGCCGUUGAGGGUGAGAGUCCCUCCACACACCUAGAGUCCUUCAUCAAUGGUGUACGUUCCUAGAGUCGCGUUCUUUGGGACUGGAGCGCAAUUGGGUGGUAAGCUGCAUCUAGAGCUAAUCAAACACUUGAGGCCAAUAGCUGACAAGUACUGUGAGGGAAAGAUGAAAAGGACUUUGGAGAGAGAGCUAAAAGUGCCUGAAAUCACUGUGGGUGAAGUGAGUUGAGCUACUAUUUUGAUGAGAUUGCCCUGCGGUGUGCAGACUGGCCUCAGCCUCAUUUAUGGGGCUGGAGCUGAGGUGUGCAGCCUGCGGGGUGUGUCUUGUCAGGAUGGUCGUCAGCAGUUGCCUUACAGGCAUCCAGGUAGGUUUUUGUAGAUGACUUCGGUGAUUUGCAUGCCUGCUUUGGCCUGUUGGCGGACUGCUUGAUGGCUCACGAGUGGCUUGAUUCAUCCCGUCUUGAAACACGGACCAAGGAGUCUAGCAUGUGUGCAAGUGCUCUGGUUUGUAGAAACCUGACUGCAAAGUCAAGGGCGACUGCCAGGUGUUUUGCACUGGCAACCAACCGAGCAAUUGGCCAAGGUUUGAGUGUGAGCACAGGUGCUAGGACCCGAAAGAUGGUGAACUAUGCCUGUGCAUGGCAAACUCAGGGGAAACCCUGAUGGAGGCUUACAGCGCUACUGACGUGCAAAUCGUUCGUCAGACAUGGGUAUAGGGGCGAAAGACUAAUCGAACCAUCUAGUAGCUGGUUCCCUCCGAAGUUUCCCUCAGGAUAGCUAGAGUAGAGCAGUUUUGUCAGGUAAAGCCAAUGAUUAGAGGCAUUGGGGAUGUGCCAUCCUCGACCUAUUCUCAAACUUUAAAUGGGCAAGAGCCAGUGGUUGCUUUAUUGAACCCUUGGGACAAAUGCAUACUCUAAGUGGGCCAAAUUUGGUAAGCAGAACUGGCGAUGAGGGAUGAACCUAACGCUGACUUCUGGUGCCCAACUACCAGCUUAUUGGAUACCACAAAGGGUGUUGGUUCAUUUGAACAGCAGGACGGUGGUCAUGGAAGUCGAAAUCCGCUAAGGAGUGUGUAACAACUCACCUGCCGAAUGGACCAGCCCCGAAAAUGGAUGGCGCUGAAGUAGGUGACGCAUAGUCAGCCAUCAUUGCACUCCAGUUUGCAGUGAUGAGUAGGAGGGCAUGGG
rnacentral:rRNA from 1 species